GAUGUUCUAACGUUGACCCGUAAUCCGGGUUGCGGACAGUGUCUGGUGGGUAGUUUGACUGGGGCGGUCUCCUCCUAAAGAGUAACGGAGGAGCACGAAGGUUGGCUAAUCCUGGUCGGACAUCAGGAGGUUAGUGCAAUGGCAUAAGCCAGCUUGACUGCGAGCGUGACGGCGCGAGCAGGUGCGAAAGCAGGUCAUAGUGAUCCGGUGGUUCUGAAUGGAAGGGCCAUCGCUCAACGGAUAAAAGGUACUCCGGGGAUAACAGGCUGAUACCGCCCAAGAGUUCAUAUCGACGGCGGUGUUUGGCACCUCGAUGUCGGCUCAUCACAUCCUGGGGCUGAAGUAGGUCCCAAGGGUAUGGCUGUUCGCCAUUUAAAGUGGUACGCGAGCUGGGUUUAGAACGUCGUGAGACAGUUCGGUCCCUAUCUGCCGUGGGCGCUGGAGAACUGAGGGGGGCUGCUCCUAGUACGAGAGGACCGGAGUGGACGCAUCACUGGUGUUCGGGUUGUCAUGCCAAUGGCACUGCCCGGUAGCUAAAUGCGGAAGAGAUAAGUGCUGAAAGCAUCUAAGCACGAAACUUGCC
rnacentral:rRNA from 1 species